ensembl:ncRNA ZC477.19 ncRNA
UAAAACCUAUCGAGGCUCCUAUUUUAGAAAAAAACAGUUUCUAGUAACUUCAAAGUAAGAAGUUUGUGGGAACUCGAAGGUAGGCGAAAAGCUUCCCGUUUGCUCCCAUCGUCGUCGAAAAAUUACAAGGAGCACACAAACAAAAAGCGG